rnacentral:rRNA from 1 species
UACAGAGGGUGCAAGCGUUGUUCGGAAUUACUGGGCGUAAAGCGCGCGCAGGCGGGUCUGUAAGUCGGAAGUGAAAGCCCUGGGCUCAACCUAGGAAGUGCAUUCGAAACUUCUGAGCUGGAGUGCUGGAGAGGAAGGCGGAAUUCUCGGUGUAGAGGUGAAAUUCGUAGAUAUCGAGAGGAACACCAGUGGCGAAGGCGGCUCACUGGGCACCACCUGACGCUGAGGCGCGAAAGCGUGGGGAGCGAACCGG